UACAGAGGGUGCAAGCGUUGUUCGGAAUUAUUGGGCGUAAAGCGCGUGUAGGCGGCUUUGCAAGUCGGGUGUGAAAGCCCUCGGCUCAACCGAGGAAGUGCGCCCGAAACUGCAGAGCUUGAGUACUGGAGAGGAUGGCGGAAUUCCCCAGUAGAGGUGAAAUUCGUAGAUAUGGGGAGGAACACCGGUGGCGAAGGCGGCCAUCUGGACGGAUACUGACGCUGAGACGCGAAAGCGUGGGUAGCAAACGAGG
rnacentral:rRNA from 1 species